AUUGAACGCUGGCGGCAGGCCUAACACAUGCAAGUCGAGCGGAUGAGAGGAGCUUGCUUCUCGAUUCAGCGGCGGACGGGUGAGUAAUGCCUAGGAAUCUGCCUGGUAGUGGGGGACAACGUUUCGAAAGGAACGCUAAUACCGCAUACGUCCUACGGGAGAAAGCAGGGGACCUUCGGGCCUUGCGUUAUCAGAUGAGCCUAGGUCGGAUUAGCUAGUUGGUGAGGUAAUGGCUCACCAAGGCGACGAUCCGUAACUGGUCUGAGAGGAUGAUCAGUCACACUGGAACUGAGACACGGUCCAGACUCCUACGGGAGGCAGCAGUGGGGAAUAUUGGACAAUGGGCGAAAGCCUGAUCCAGCCAUGCCGCGUGUGUGAAGAAGGUCUUCGGAUUGUAAAGCACUUUAAGUUGGGAGGAAGGGUUGUAGAUUAAUACUACACAGCCUUGACGUUACUCGCAGAAGAAGCACCGGCUAACUCUGUGCCAGCCGCCGCCGUAACAC
rnacentral:rRNA from 1 species